rnacentral:tRNA from 1 species
UAGGCAGGAGCUAAUAGGUGCUGGCGUCUAGCUGUUAACUAGAAUAAUGUGGGAUCGAAGCCCAUCUGCCUAG